rnacentral:rRNA from 1 species
UACGGAGGGGGCUAGCGUUGUUCGGAAUUACUGGGCGUAAAGCGCACGUAGGCGGAUCGGAAAGUCGGGGGUGAAAUCCCGGGGCUCAACCCCGGAACUGCCUUCGAAACUAUCGGUCUGGAGUCCGAGAGAGGUGAGUGGAAUUCCGAGUGUAGAGGUGAAAUUCGUAGAUAUUCGGAGGAACACCAGUGGCGAAGGCGGCUCACUGGCUCGGUACUGACGCUGAGGUGCGAAAGCGUGGGGAGCAAACAGG